rnacentral:rRNA from 1 species
GACGAACGCUGGCGGCGUGCUUAACACAUGCAAGUCGAACGGAAAGGCCCUGCUUUUGUGGGGUGCUCGAGUGGCGAACGGGUGAGUAUCACGUGAGUAACCUGCCCUUGACUUUGGGAUAACUUUAGGAAACUGGGGCUCAUACCGGAUAGGAGCUCCUGCUCCAUGUUGUGGGUUGGAAAGUUUCGGCGGUUGGGGAUGGACUCGCUGCUUAUCCGCUUGUUGGGGGGGUAGUGGCUUACCAAGGCUUUGACGGGUAGCCGGCCUGGGAGGGUGACCGGCCACAUUGGGACUGAGAUACGGCCCAGACUCCUACGGGAGGCAGCAGUGGGGAAUAUUGCACAAUGGGCGGAAGCCUGAUGCAGCAACGCCGCGUGCGGGAUGACGGCCUUCGGGUUGUAAACCGCUUUCGCCUGUGACGAAGCGUGAGUGACGGUAAUGGGUAAAGAAGCACCGGCUAACUACGUG